rnacentral:rRNA from 1 species
CAAUAGCGUAUAUUAAAGUUGUUGCAGUUAAAAAGCUCGUAGUUGAAUCUUGGGAGCGGGUGGGCUAGCGAGCCACAGCCCGUCCCUGCUUCUUGCCUCUCGGUGCCCCCUGGAUGCUCUUAGCUGAGUGUCCUGUGGCCCGAAGCACUUACUUUGAAAAAAUUAGAGUGUUCAAAGCAGGCCCAAGCCGCCUGGAUACUGCAGCUUGGAAUAAUGGAAUAGGACCACAGUUCUAUUUUGUUGGUUUUCGGAACUGAGGCCAUGAUUAAGAGGGACGGCCGGGGGCAUUCAUAUUGCACCGCUAGAGGUGAAAUUCUUGGACUGGCAGUUUAGACCAGAGCGAAAGCAUUUGCCAAGAAUGUUUUCAUUAA